UUUUUUAAAGAUAUGUUUUUCUUAACCAGUGAUUAUGAGAGUCCUUAUUUAGGAAGAGGCCUUAUGUUAGACUAGGAAAUUUUUCUCCACAAAUAAAACAUGAGCCCUGGAAAAGAGGCCUUUAUGGGAUAAGUUUCUCCUUGAGCUAAAACAAUUUCAAGUCUCUUCUCUUAUUCUUUAUCAUCAACAAACAUGUUUCCAAAUUCUGAGAAUUCAGAGUGCUGAUACAAAUGCUUAUUUAACACUUAGUGGAGAGAAAAACAUCUCUACAUUCAGGAUGAGUGUGGCCCCUGUGUGUUUGACAGUGGCUGGGUCACAGAGUAUAUGGAGAGGCCACGGCACUCAGCCAGAUGAACUUAUUCUGAAUAUCUUACAGAAAAGAUAGCCUCACGGCUUCCAUCAGUGGCUACUGCGUAUAGCUUAGUUCCUUGUUCAGCCAUAUUUGCUACUUUCCAUGAAUCUCACUGGCCUGGAAUUCUGCUGUCUAAAUAGGCUCUGAAUGGAAAGGCUGCAGUAUCAUCUUCCAUUUUGGUGUGUCAUCAAUCAGAAAUGUUUUCUAGGGGGUGUCUGGGUGGUUCAAUCAGUUAAGCGACUUCGGCUCAGGGUUAUGAUCCCAGGGUCCUGGGAUCCAGACCUAUGUCAGGCUCCCUGCUCUGCGGAGAGCCUGCUUCUCUCUCCCUCACCACUCCCCCUGCUUGUGCUGUCUCACUCGCUUCUCUGUCAAACAAAUAAAUAAAAUCUUUUAAUUCUAAGUCCCUAGCUAGUACUUACGUAUAAUUUAGUGGCCAUCUCAAAAGGCAUAAAACAGAAUCUGCAUUUCUCUGAUCAUUUUUGUCCUGAAGUAGCAUAGGAACUGAAAAGCCUUUUGUUUCUGUGUAAUUAUGUUUUAAAGGAAACUCAAAGGGCCAGGAAGAGGCAGGUAGAGGGACUGCAAUAGGAGGGGAAAGAUGCCAGAUAAGUCCAGCAAGGAUGGCUGUGCCCAUUAUGUGGCAUUCAGAACAUCCAUUGUUAGGAGUGAAUCUUUGAUAACUACUGGUAACAGAACUUAAUUGAUGGUGGACAGAAUUUAUAUCACCUGUGGGUCCAAAGUGGAAAUGAAAGAAUGAUAGUUCACUUCAUCUUAUAAAGGUUAAACUGGGGUCAUACUGGCCUAAAAGAGAGAAGAAUACAAUAGGAUAAAAUGAAAUGAUAGAAAACACAUAAAAGUCUCUGUCCGCUCUUCCUGGCACAGAGCUAAGACCGCAGUAGGAGCAUCUUUUGUUUUAAUUGGUCUUUGACCCCAGUCCUGACAAAAAAUGACUCAUUCUUUGGAAUUUCCAGUCUUUUGUUUGAGGCAGCUCUUGAUGGGCUCCUAGAUAGCUUCAGGACGAGGACUGGUCAUCCGAGAAGGUCACCCUUCAGCCCAACCACAUCCUUCAGGAUAGAGGGAGUGGAGACAGAGAUAAUGAUGGAGCAUGCCUGUAGAGGGACGAAGCCUCCAUAAAAAUCACAGUAUUAAGGGAUCUAGAGAGCUUCCAGAUUGGUGAAAGAACUCACUUGCCAGGAGGGUGGGGCACCCCACAUUCACGGGACAGAAGCUCCUGCACUUGGUAUUCUCAGACUUAGGGAUCUCCAUCUGGCUGUUGUCUGUAUGCUUUAUCAUAUCCUUUAUAAUACUGACAAGCUCUUGGGGUUUCCCUGACUUCUGUGAGCCAUUCAAGUAAAUCAUCAAAACCCCAGGUGCCCCACUUAUAGGUAGUCAGAAGUGCAGGUGACAAUCUGGACUUGAAGUUGGGAUCUGGGCAUUGGGGAAAUGUGGGCUGUCUUGAAGGACUGAGUCCUUAACCUCUGGGGUCCGCAUCAACUCUUGUUAGUAUGAAAGUUGAAUUCUAGGGCACUCAGAUGGUGUCCUUCGAUUAUUUGGUGUGGACAUGUCUGGUGUCAAAAAGUAUUGUGAGUAUGAGAUUAAAGGAAAUACAAGCGUUUUUCUCAUGUGUUUAAUCUUAAUAGCUGAGGUGCAUUCGUGUGAUGGAGAUGGCAUUUCAAAAGAGUAAAGAUAAAGAGAUGGACCGUUUAAUAAGUGGUUUUAACUGGCACCAUAAAGCUGGCGAAGGAUAACAAUUCCCUCCAACGUAUACCAGUAUAAAUUCCAAAUGAGUUAAAGGGUGUAAAUGUAAGAAAUUAGAUGAAAAUAUAAGUGACUAUCUCAGUCAAAUAGCAAAAGGGAAAGACUAUGAUAACAAUUCAUCAAAGAACUGAUGAUCAAUGAAAAAAAAUUAAAAAAAUCUAGUAAUAACUAGAAGAUUCAGUGGGAACAAUAGAGCUUCCCAAGUGUAAGGACAUUCUCAGUGCUUUUAUAUGUAUUUGUUCAUUUAAUCAAGUCUAUGGAGAAGGUACAUUUGCUAUGUCUAUUUUAUAGAUGAGGACACUAAAGCCUGGAGUACUUCACUUAACUGAUUUUUAUCAACUAGGUGAACUACAAUCCUGAGCAUUUGAUCUAGCUAUAGUCUGCGCAUAACCACUUAGCUGUAUGCUCGUGUAGGAGGAUGCCAUUUUGAUGUGUAUGUGUGUGUAUAUAUAUGAGUGUGUGUGUAUACACAUAUCGUGUGUAAUUACAUAUAUGUAAUUGUGUAUAUCGUGUGUGUGAUUACAUACAUGUAAUUACGUGUGUGUGUGUGUACACAUAAAAACAGCAUGGGUAGCAUGGGGUUUGAUUGCUAAUUGAAAGCUGUGGUGACUAUAACCUAGUACAGCUUUUUUGGACGUUAGCUAGAAUUGUCAGAAGUCUUGAGAGUUUCUACCCCCAAUCCUAUAAUUACACUUUUGGGAAAUUUACCCAGGGAAAUAACUUGGGGAUGGGGUCUUGGCUAGGGAACUUGCCUUGAAUUGUUGUAUAGCACAUAAGUUUAAAAUCAGAAAUUGCCCAUAUCGAAGAAUAGGAAGCCAGGUUAGUAGGAUGCCAUACCUAGAGACCAUCUGUGAAACCAAACAACCUUGUUCUUGUGGAUCAGUUUACAACAGCAGACAGUAGACAACUGGAGACUCAGUGCAGAUCUUCAUUGCUAUCAUUCCAGAUUAAAAGCCAGUCUGCACUACCAGGCUCUGCCAAUUCCCAGGCCAACCAAAAGUAGGAAGAGCUGUUUUCUCCCUUGCAAGGGUUUGUCUGCUGGUGAUGAGGUGGAGAAAGAGGGAGUUUUCCACUGACGACAGAAGGAAUACUGGUCCAAGGUGCAUAGGAGAACAAAAUUUUCUACCAGUCACCCAACAGAGAAGAGGGCUUGACACUCAUCAUCAUGAAUUUUACUGUUCUAGAAGAUGUAGGAGGAAUAAAUGUGACUUGGAAUGCAAGGCUAUUUUCUCUGCCUGGAAGGUAGCUCGACUCUUCCACUAUCAAAGGAAACAAUGUUACAGUCCACAAGGUAACCCUAAGGGCAGAAGACCUCCAGGAAGCUACAGCAAAGCUGAUCACACCUUGGUCUAUCUUCUGCUGCACAGUUGUUAGUGUGAAUCAACUCAAUAAAUAUUUAUUGAACACCUAUGCAUGCUGGGUCCUUCCAGAGAAACAAAGAACUCCCUCAGAACCCAUCGUACAUACAUGUCACACUAAAUACUGAAGCAAGUAGGAUGAUAAGCCAAUGAGGUAAUAUAUAUUAAAGUGGUUUGAAAAGGAUACACACUAUUCUAAAACUCAGUGAUGUGAAAUGGUUAGUAAUACAACAGGUCACAUUUCCCCUUCCCUCUCUGUAUUAUUAAGAUGUUACUAAUGUGUCAGUUUUCUCCCUUCAGGCAAUUUCAUUGAAAAUUCUGAGAAGGAAAACAAAUAUAUCUGGAUUUCUUUCUUUUCUUUCUUUUUUUUUUUUUUUUUAAGAAAGAGAGAGUGAGAGCUUGGGGUGGGAGGGGCAGAAGGAGAGGGAGAGAGAAUUCCAAGCAGACUUGAGCACGGAGCCCGAUAUGAGGCUCCAUCUCAUGACCUGAGUUGAAAGCAAGAGAUGGACACUUAACCAACUAUGCCACCCAGGUGCCCCUAAAUCUGAAUUAAAAAAAAAACUAUGUUCUUAUCUAUAAGAACAUAUCCUAUAAUCAUAUCCACCUCUAUCUCUAUAGCUAUGUUCAUAUUCAUUGUAGAAAACUGGGGGAAAAACAAGUAUAAGGGACAAAAUUAACACCACUGUUACCUAGAGAUGGUAAUCGCCUCAGAUUUAGCAUUGGUGGUCUCAGCUCUUCAAAAACAACCCCAGAGGUUCAUGACUUUAUUUUGGGGGGGAUAGAUAAAAAAUGUUUAGUUGGUCAGAAAUCACUGACUACCUACUAUGUGCUUCUAGCUCUUUAUUAGAUGAGAACAAUCUCAUAAGAGAAUUAUAAGAUGCUGCCAGGGGAUCCUUGGGCAGUCCUUUCUCAGAAAGUGAGGGGGCUGUUUUGGCUCUUCAUCAUGUGAUAAAAUUUCCAUCACCUGGGAACACAUGGAAUGGGUCACGUGUCACUUAGCAGGGCAUGGUGCAGCAAGGCUUUUACUCUUGCAGUCCCUGAGAUUAUUUAUUUAUUCUUAACAAGGAGAGAACAAAAGCACGAGAUGUUCAAUUUAUAUCUUGCAUUAAAUCAUGAGAAUUUUAAAUGUUUGUCUCUUUGUAAACCUCUGUUAAAGAACAGAAAUACUGGCCUCUGACUGACCUAGAAGAGAAAGAGACAAUUGUAUGUGGAUAUCAUCAACGUAAACCGUAGGCGCAGACUAGAGACCAGGUUGUGUUCGCAGAGCCCGACUUUUUGUCCCCCUCUCCAAAGAUGAGAUGAGGGAAGUUUCCGUUACGCUGACAAAUGAGUGCAAGUGACUUCUGGUUAUAACUUAAAUGACUCAAGUGGAAAAUAAAAGAGAACUUUGUUAAAAGUCCCUUCCUAUGGGUGUUUCUCUCUUAGCGUUCUGGCCCGUUCAUCACUCCCUGUCCUCUAAAAAGAACAGACAGAUUUGAGAAACUCAAGAAGGAGAUGGAUUUUCUUUGAAUGUUGUUAAAAAACAAAUCUCUGGAAGGCCAGUGUCACAGACUGGUCACCAGCAUUCCGGGCUCCAUCCUUGUUCCCCUCCAGUAAGUAGUUCCCAGUCCCGAAUCCCACGUGCUUCACAGGGCAUGGCUUAUCUCACCCUUGCUGAUAACGCCAGUCUGCUCUUACCUCUUCUCCCGCUCUCUGCCUUCUCUCCGUUCCUAGACUCUGAAAAGCUCUCCCUGACACCAGUGUCUUUCCCAUAAGCCUUUGUCUCCAAAACACCUGCUCCUCUGCCGGAUAUCAGCUUCAACGUCACUCCCUCCAACAAGCUUUUCCUGACCCCUCUGACCGUUAUCAAGUCCUUCAGUUAAACCAUUACACAGGACCAUAUAC